rnacentral:rRNA from 1 species
AUUGAACGCUGGCGGCAGGCCUAACACAUGCAAGUCGAGCGGAGCGGCGGACGGGUGAGUAAUGCCUAGGAAUCUGCCUGGUAGUGGGGGAUAACGUCCGGAAACGGGCGCUAAUACCGCAUACUAUCAGAUGAGCCUAGGUCGGAUUAGCUAGUUGGUGGGGUAAAGGCCUACCAAGGCGACGAUCCGUAACUGGUCUGAGAGGAUGAUCAGUCACACUGGAACUGAGAAACGUGCGAGACUCCUACGGUAGGCAGCAUGGGGGAAUAUUGGACAAUGGGCGAAAGCCUGAUGCAGCGACGCCGCGUGGGGGAUGAAGGCUUUCGGGUUGUAAACCUCUUUCGAUAUCGAACGGGUAGGUGGAGAAGAAGCGCCGGCUAACUACGUGCCAGCAGCCGCGGUAAUUC